rnacentral:rRNA from 1 species
AACAGCAGCUAGCUUUCUGCAACUCUCACAUGGUCGUCCACUGAAGCUAAGCAGGGCUGCGCCUAGUCAGUACCUGGAUGGGAGACCACAUGGGAAAGCUAGGUUGCUGCUGGAA